UGAAAGGACUCUCUCCAGUUUUAAUUGGAUUAUUUUAGACCUGAAGGCUUCUUCUUCUGGGAAGGAGAGAUCCUGCACACUGAGCUCGUUGGAGGACACAGCUGCCACAAUGCAGAUCGUGGAACUGAAGUACUGCAACAUAAAGCACCGCAAUGAUGGUAGAAGUGGAACGAAACAGAGGAGAACUCGUACCCACAGGCCACAUAAAUCAAACCCAGAGAUGACAGAGUAGAAACUGAAGCCAAGCUGCACACAAACUACAGCUGACUGGAUGUGCUGGUCUGUGGAGAGCGAGCAGCUGCGACAGGUCACCCCUGAGGCUGGAGGAAGGGCUCUCCUGUGGGUGAAGUGUCCUG